GGGGAAUCUUGCACAAUGGGCGAAAGCCUGAUGCAGCGACGCCGCGUGCGGGAUGAAGGCCUUCGGGUUGUAAACCGCUUUCAGCAGGGACGAGGCGAAAGUGACGGUACCUGCAGAAGAAGCCCCGGCUAACUACGUGCCAGCAGCCGCGGUAAUACGUAGGGGGCAAGCGUUAUCCGGAUUCAUUGGGCGUAAAGCGCUCGUAGGCGGUCUGUUAGGUCGGGAGUUAAAUCCGGGGGCUCAACCCCCGUUCGCUCCCGAUACCGGCAGACUUGAGUUUGGUAGGGGAAGGUGGAAUUCCUAGUGUAGCGGUGGAAUGCGCAGAUAUUAGGAAGAACACCAGUGGCGAAGGCGGCCUUCUGGGCCAUAACUGACGCUGAGGAGCGAAAGCUAGGGGAGCAAACAGGAUUAGAUACCCUGGUAGUCCUAGCCGUAAACGAUGGACACUAGGUGUGGGGGAAUAUUUCUUCCGUGCCGCAGCUAACGCAUUAAGUGUCCCGCCUGGGGAGUACGGCCGCAAGGCUA
rnacentral:rRNA from 1 species